rnacentral:rRNA from 1 species
UUAGCAUAUCAUUAGCGGAGGAAAAGAAACCAACAGGGAUUGCCCCAGUAACGGCGAGUGAAGCGGCAACAGCUCAAAUUUGAAAUCCGGCCCCCCGGGCCCGAGUUGUAAUUUGCAGAGGAAGCUUUGGGCGCGGCCCCCACCGAGUCCCCUGGAACGGGGCGCCAUAGAGGGUGAGAGCCCCGUAUGGUGGGAGGCCCAGCCCGUGUAAAGCUCCUUCGACGAGUCGAGUAGUUUGGGAAUGCUGCUCUAAACGGGAGGUAAAUUUCUUCUAAAGCUAAAUACUGGCCAGAGACCGAUAGCGCACAAGUAGAGUGAUCGAAAGAUGAAAAGCACUUUGAAAAGAGGGUUAAACAGCACGUGAAAUUGUUGAAAGGGAAGCGCUUGUGACCAGACUUGCGCCGGGCGGAUCAUCCGGUGUUCUCACCGGUGCACUCCGCCCGGGGCAGGCCAGCAUCGGUUUCCGCGGGGGGACAAAGGCCCGGGGAACGUAGCUCCCCUCGGGGAGUGUUAUAGCCCCGGGCGCAACGCCCUGGCGGGGACCGAGGACCGCGCCGUCUACGGCAAGGAUGCUGGCGUAAUGGUCAUCAGCGACCCGUCUUGAAACACGGACCAAGGAGUCAAGGUUUUGCGCGAGUGUUUGGGUGUCAAACCCGCACGCGUAAUGAAAGUGAACGUAGGUGAGAGCUUCGGCGCAUCAUCGACCGAUCCUGAUGUCUUCGGAUGGAUUUGAGUAGGAGCGUUAAGCCUUGGACCCGAAAGAUGGUGAACUAUGCUUGGAUAGGGUGAAGCCAGAGGAAACUCUGGUGGAGGCUCGCAGCGGUUCUGACGUGCAAAUCGAUCGUCAAAUCUGAGCAUGGGGGCGAAAG